rnacentral:rRNA from 1 species
UAAAUAGUUACGAUAACUUCGGUUGUUGAUUAACUUCUUAGAGGGACUAUGGAUUUUUAAUCCAUGGAAGUUUGAGGCAAUAACAGGUCUGUGAUGCCCUUAGAAGUUCUGGGCCGCACGCGCGCUACACUGAUGAAGGCAACAAGUAAUUCACCUUGGCCGGAAGGUCUG